rnacentral:rRNA from 1 species
AUUGAACGCUGGCGGAAUGCUUUACACAUGCAAGUCGAGCGGCAGCGCGGGGCAACCUGGCGGCGAGCGGCGAACGGGUGAGUAAUGUAUCGGAACGUAUCCUUAAGUGGGGGACAACUAGUCGAAAGACUAGCUAAUACCGCAUACGAUCGAGAGAUGAAAGUGGGGGACCGCAAGGCCUCACGCUUUUGGAGCGGCCGAUAUCCGAUUAGCUUGUUGGUGAGGUAAAGGCUUACCAAGGCUAUGAUCGGUAGCUGGUCUGAGAGGAUGAUCAGCCACACUGGAACUGAGACACGGUCCAGACUCCUACGGGAGGCAGCAGUGGGGAAUAUUGGACAAUGGGCGCAAGCCUGAUCCAGCAAUGCCGCGUGUGUGAAGAAGGCC